AGAGCUUUAUCUUAAUUUAAAGAAUCUGAGUUGCAUUCAGGGGAUGUAGGUUAAUACCCUGCAAGUUCUAC
rnacentral:tRNA from 1 species